CCUACGGGAGGCAGCAGUAGGGAAUAUUGGGCAAUGGGCGCAAGCCUGACCCAGCAACGCCGCGUGAGGGAAGAAGGUUUUCGGAUUGUAAACCUCUGUCCUAUGUGACGGAGGAAGUGACGGUAGCAUAGGAGGAAGCCCCGGCUAACUACGUGCCAGCAGCCGCGGUAAU
rnacentral:rRNA from 1 species